UCAAACUUGGUCAUUUAGAGGAAGUAAAAGUCGUAACAAGGUUUCCGUAGGUGAACCUGCGGAAGGAUCAUUAAUGUGAUGGAUGUGCUAGUCUUGACCUCUUAAUCCUCCUUCAAUUUAUUGUUAGGUGGGGGCCUGACGGCUCAAGGGGAAAGGAAAUAAGAACCCGUUCGGGUGUGCACUCCGAUACAAUCCAAUUUCUCUCAUACCUUGUGCAUCGUUGCCUGCUGAGCAUGAAAGGAGUGUUGAAAUAACAUUCUUGAUUGAGCCUGCAGGAUCUUCUAUCACAAUCUUUUAAAGAAUGUAUUUUUAGCUUAAAUGCAAAUGUAAUACAACUUUCAACAAUGGAUCUCUUGGCUCUUGCAUCGAUGAAGAACGCAGC
rnacentral:misc_RNA from 1 species